AGGUUUCCACAGUGUCAGGCACAUAUCAGUGCAAUAAAUAAUCAUCAACAACUAUUAAUCUGAGUCAGCACAUACAUUUAGAUCUAUAUAGAUAUAUUCUGAUCUAUAUCUGCUCUGAUGAGCGCGUUUGGCACGCGUUUGGACACUCAAUCUGACCGAAUCAACACAGCUGAAACCGCAUUAAAUUAAAUUAAAUAUCUUGUAAAUAGACACACAUGAUGAAGUUAACAAGAUAUGUAAUUCGUCUCCCUCCUUUUAUUUCUUCCUCUUCCUCUUAUUUCUCGCACAGCUCAACCUGGACAUGUCUCCAUGUCCUUUCUCUGUCCUGUUGCAGCAGCAGCUGAACAGAUGAUUUGUUUCAGCGCUCAGAUGCGUUAUCUACUUUAAGCCUACAUAUGAAUAUUAUAAUGUUGAGUUUUGUGAGCCAAAUUUAUUUGAUAUGCCAACAUCUAUGACAGAAAGAGCCAGGCCACGGAGCGCGAUGCGUCAUUUGCGCACAGAUGGUUCCGAUUUUAAUGCCAUUAUUGGAAUUUAUGAUGUAAUCUGUGCGCUCAACCCACCUUUGUCACGUGAGGUUUGAAUAUGAGCAACUUUAUGUGAGUGUCUUUAUUUGUAGAAAAGGGUGUUUGUCUUACCAGUGGGUCCAACAUUACACACACCAAAUCCAUCUGUGCUCAUAUGAGAGAGUUUGGAGGACGCCCAAUGCAGCGCUUACAGUGACACUUGUUGAGGAGCUGCCCUCUGUCGCCAUCAUGUGGCAUUACUGUCUUCAGACAUCUCUUGAUCUCUCUGACUACGUCACAAAAAUAGUAAUAUGCCUCACCGGUGGCGGAUUUAAAGGCAAGGAGAGGAGCUUAUGUGAUUGGUGAAAACAGGUCUCGGCUGUGUUAAACCCACUCCCCGCCGUCUCUCCUCCCUCACUACGACUUACGCCGCUGGGAGGAGCUGAGUUAGGGAGGGGGAAUACUUACGCCGGGCUGCGCUGCUCACCAAAAUACCAAAUUGUGCUUGGGAACGCCUUGUCAGCAUGGCGGACCUCACUUACGCUGCGCAUGCGCUGCGUCGCCGGCGAGGCACGAAAAUAGAGCCCCGAAUCUUAUGUUUAAACUAAAGCUCUACCUUCAAAUGGGCUACCUACCAAAAUAUCACAUACAAUGCAAAUGUCCCUGCUGUAGGCACUUUUGGUGGUGGAUAGAGGUCAGUUCUAAUGUGCAAACAGACCAGCCAGGCAAGUCUGACGAGGGAGGAGCAACCACGGUGAUGUGACACCAGAACAAGCAUGAACUGUUUCACCAGUCUGAGCUUGGACCUCCACUUUCCACAAGUUUCAGUAACUUAUGUUCUCAAGUUUCUCAUGUUGCCAAACCAUCACAGUUGGCUCUUGUCAAUUUAAGGUUCAUCCUUGUCAUCCCGUUUUUCCUACGUCAAACAUAUUAACUUUAAGGACACAAUGUUCACCACCUGCUAAACAUCUCAAACGGUGCCAGUGUGGAGAGAUAAUCAAAGUUCACCUGUCAAAGGUCAUAAGGCUAUAACUAGAUCACUUGAAAUGUCUAGACAUAGUGAAAAAAAGUUUCAUAUUACUCAGAAGAAUCUCUUCACCUUCAGUUCCCUAAAGCUCGACAUUAAGUUCAGCAUCAUUUAAAUAUAGACUCUGUCUCUGUUUUACUUCCCACACUCACUGUUUUGGUUCUCUCUCUUGAUGAUCUUUUUAACAUUUACGAGUAAAAGAAAGUCCAAGUAAUUAUGUUGUUUUCUCGAGGCAUCUGUUUACAACCUUCAGUUAACUAUUUCCCAACAGAACACAUGUUAAUAUGUCAGAGUUUUUUUCUAACUUGUUGCUCAGCAGAAACAGCAGUUCAAUGAAAGUCCAAGUGUAAUACAAUUAAAAAAAUAUGAGAUAGCAACUGUAGGUUUGAUCAUUGCCAAAAAAAAUAAAAAAUACUUGACUUCUACCUUGGCAAAACAUCAUAAAUAAACACGCUGGUAAUAAAGAGUUAGAGGAUGACAGUAAUCCGUAAAACUGUCUUUCGCAAAGCUUCAGGGAAAAUCAAACAUGUUCUUUCUUGUUUCUUUCAGCACACUUGGCUGCAAACUGCUCCUGGACAUGAGUGGGUGCCGGGAUCUGAGCCAGUUUUCACCCUGCAGACAAUCCAAGUUCAUCCACCUCUGCAUUUUCCUGUAAACGCUCUACAGCAGGGGAAUUUCACACUACAGAAAGAUAAGGCCAAUAUCCGGCUUUGGAUUUACAAGAAAACGAGAGUUUGUUUGGAAAUGCCCUACUGACGCUUUAAGAGCGUGACUCAUUGACUGUCUGUCUGAUUGGUGAUAAAGUCAUUAAAAGUCAAUUCAUGCUGACAUUGUGCAAAUCAAUUACGGGUUAAACUUUAACAAACAAACCCCUGCAUGAUUCUGUCAGCUCCCUUGACAUAAAUGGAGAAGAGAAAGAGGACUUUCAACCUGCUGGUGGUAUCAGUUUCACACGAAAAAAAAGCUUUUUCACAACAGAUAUAUGCAUUUUUCUUCUAAAACUGCGAAAAAAUACAAGUGUGCGUUUUCACUUCAGGUUUUAAUUUUGUUCAUUUACAGUCAAACAAGCAUGCAUAUAGUAGGCAACAACCAGGAGAUUUCAAUCCACAACAAUUUCUAAGAAUGUGCUCAACGCAUUCAACCUACUAUGCAUCACUUGACCUAGAAAGCCACUGCUACUUCACUGAAAGGAGAAGUGAGCAAGGGAGCAGCCUGUAACCUCAGGUGCCCACAGUGUUUUCAAAUUACCAAAAAAAAAAGGUAAAGAAAAUAAAACCCAAGCAAAACGUAAAGGUGCAGUCAGACUCUGGGUUGAAAUGCUCCCUUGCUCAGCCCUCUUUUAAGGAUGUAUCAGAAGCCUUCAGUGACAAGGAGCCUCUAUGAUGCAUAAUCGAGUUUGAUCCACCAUUUGUCAAGUUUUCACCAAAAAAAAGACACAUACCAAUACAAAUGCUUUCAUGCAGAAAAACCACUCUCCUC
rnacentral:lncRNA from 1 species